UACGUAGGUGGCAAGCGUUGUCCGGAAUUAUUGGGCGUAAAGCGCGCGCAGGUGGUUCUUUAAGUCUGAUGUGAAAGCCCACGGCUCAACCGUGGAAGGUCAUUGGAAACUGGGGAACUUGAGUGCAGAAGAGGAAAGUGGAAUUCCAAGUGUAGCGGUGAAAUGCGUAGAUAUUUGGAGGAACACCAGUGGCGAAGGCGACACGCUGGGCCGUACCUGACGCUAAAGCGCGACAGCAUGGGGAGCGAACGGG
rnacentral:rRNA from 1 species